CAGCACCUCAAGUGGUCAGGAUGAUUAUUGGGCCUAAAGCAUCCGUAGCCGGCUCUGUAAGUUUUCGGUUAAAUCUGUACGCUUAACGUACAGGCUGCCGGGAAUACUGCAGAACUAGGGAGUGGGAGAGGUAGACGGUACUCGGUAGGAAGGGGUAAAAUCCUUUGAUCUAUUGAUGACCACCUGUGGCGAAGGCGGUCUACCAGAACACGUCCGACGGUGAGGGAUGAAAGCUGGGGGAGCAAACCGGAUUAGAUACCCGAGUAGUCC
rnacentral:rRNA from 1 species